GGGUCGGUAGCUCAGCAUGGUAGAGCAGCGGACUUUUAAUCCGUUGGUCGCGAGUUCAAAUCUUGCUCGGCCCA
rnacentral:tRNA from 1 species